UACGUAGGGUGCGAGCGUUAAUCGGAAUUACUGGACGUAAAGCGUGCGCAGGCGGUUUUGUAAGCCAGAUGUGAAAUCCCCGGGCUUAACCUGGGAAUGGCAUUUGGGACUGCAAGGCUGGAGUUUGGCAGAGGAGACUGGAAUUCCUGGUGUAGCAGUGAAAUGCGUAGAUAUCAGGAGGAACACCGAUGGCGAAGGCAGGUCUCUGGGCUGAAACUGACGCUCAUGCACGAAAGCGUGGGGAGCAAACAGG
rnacentral:rRNA from 1 species